GGGGACGAAGGGCAAAGGGUUAAUAGCCCCUAGCCUGACGGUACCCUUCGAGGAAGCCCCGGCUAACUACGUGCCAGCAGCCGCGGUAAUACGUAGGGGGCGAGCGUUGUCCGGAAUUAUUGGGCGUAAAGAGCGUGUAGGCGGUCCGGUAAGUCCGCCGUGAAAACCCGGGGCUCAACCCCGGGCUUGCGGUGGAUACUGUCGGGCUAGAGGAUGGUAGAGGGGAGUGGAAUUCCCGGUGUAGCGGUGAAAUGCGCAGAUAUCGGGAGGAACACCAGUAGCGAAGGCGGCUCCCUGGGCCAUUCCUGACGCUGAGACGCGAAAGCUAGGGGAGCGAACAGGAUUAGAUACCCUGGUAGUCCUAGCCGUAAACGAUGAACACUAGGUGUGGGGGGAGUCGAAUCUCUCCGUGCCGCAGCCAACGCGAUAAGUGUUCCGCCUGGGGAGUACGGCCGCAAGGCUAAAACUCAAAGGAAUUGACGGGGGCCCGCACAAGCAGCGGAGCAUGUUCUUUAAUUCGAUGCAACGCGAAGAACCUUACCUGGGCUUGACAUGGCGCUGCAAGCGCACGGAAACGUGUGACCUUCGAGGGUGCGCCACAGAUGCUGCAUGGCUGUCGU
rnacentral:rRNA from 1 species